UUUUAAUUCUCUUAAGUGCGUUAGGGAUUGUAGUGACAUCCUUUUUUGUUUUUCUCAAAAAAGAUAUAACGAAAAGCCCGACCUUUU
rnacentral:sRNA from 1 species